ensembl:lncRNA
GCUAGUAAGGCUGGUAGCACUUGCUGCAAAAAUGUUGUACAAUAAACAUUUCUGCUGUUAAAGAUAUAUUCCAGUGUUGGAAACAUGUUAUUAUAAGUAUGAUAAAAUUGCCUGUGGUUACACUGCUAAGUUAUACUUAUUUUCUAAGAAUUUUUUUGUUCAGAAACUUAGAAGCCAAGCAGCCAUAGCACAAUUUCCUUUUCAUUCUCAGGGGAUUUCCUCAGCUAAGGGCAUGUCUUUUAAGAAACCUGUUCCAUAAUUAAUGUUUCAGGCCUCUUUAACCACCAAACCAGCACUAAGAGCAGGUUUUGGUUUGUCUGACUUAAGCUGAUCUUAUUUAAAAUGAACUGGGGACUUUGCUGGUGGUCCAGUGGUGGACUCCAGGCUCCCAAUGCAGAGGACCCAGGUUAGAUUGCUGCUCAGGGACUAGAUCCUACAUACCUCAACUACCAGUUCGCAUACCAUAACUAAAGAUCCUGCAUGCUGCAUAUAAGACCUGGCACAGCCAAAUAGUUUAAAUUAAUUAUGGCUUUAAAAAUUAAUAAAAUAAAAUGAACUUAUUACAAAGGAUUGGUUAAUCUAAGUAUUUCCCUAGGGCUUCAAAACUGGCAUGACUUUACAAUCUGGACUUUAAUUGUACAGUACUUAAGUUGUAAAAUGCAUACUUUCAACCAUUUUAAAGCGUAUAAUUCAGUGGCACUUGGUACAUUUAGUGUUGUACAACCAUCACAGAACACUGAUUACCCCAAAAAGAAUCCUCACAACCAUUAAGCAGGCACUUCCCAAUCUUCUCCCACUAGCCUUUAGUAACCACCAGUCUGCUUUGUCUCUGUGGACUUUUGUUUUUUGAUGCACUGCAAGGCUUGCGGGGUUUUAGUUCUCCAACCAGGGAUCAAAGCUGGGUUCUCAGCAGUCAAAGUCCAGAGUCCUAACUACUGGACCACCAGGGAAUUCUGUGUCUCUAUGGAUCUGCCUAUUCUGAGCAUUUCAUGUAAUAGAAUCAUAUAAUAUGCAGCCUUACUGUGUCUGGCUUCUUUCACUUAGUCUGUUUCCAAGGUUCAUUCAUGUUGUAACACUUAUCAGUACUUCCUUCCUUUCUAUGGCUGAAUAUUCCAUUACAUGGAUAUACCACAUCUUAUCAUCAGUUUAUGCAAACACCAUCGUUUGUUCAUCCAAACAUCAAUUUGGUUGUUUCCACCUCUUGGCUGCUGUGAACAGUGCACUAUGA